GCCGCCUUGGCGGAACUGGUAGACGCGCCAGACUCAAAAUCUGGUAGGGGCAACCCUGUCCCGGUUCGAUUCCGGGAGGCGGCA
rnacentral:tRNA from 3 species